GGACAUGUCAAAAUACGAAAUUGGCCCAUGUUAUACUAAUGGUGUCUCGGUGCAGUCCAAUCGACACCUCUAAUCUUAACUUGUAUGUACUUGAAAGUAGUUGGAGGGGGCUAGGAUUCAUUAGCUUGAAGGUACACAUUUUGUCCCAGCCACUAUAUUUUUAAAAAUUAAUUAAAUACAAGAAUAAUGGAACGAGAGAUGUACAAUGAGAUUUUAAUAAUAAGAAAAAAGUAGGGGUGGAGAGAGAGAUUGCAGAGGUACAAUAUAACUAGGCCGGGCGAGGGGGAGGGGGCCUAAUGGAGAGGCUCUUAAAAGGAUGCCACAGAAUAUCAAAAUCUUUUCAAGUCUGUAAAUUGUAUGACAAAACAAAUCACAUUGCACAAAUCCAGAUAAGGAAAAGUAACGCAAAGGGAGAAGAGUAGACUCUAAUUUUGUACUACACUAGGCAAAUUUUUGGAUCUCUCUCUCUCUCUCCACUCUGCAAACACAAUUAAUUCACCAAAUCCCCUGUUUCAACCAUUCAUAGCCUUUGCUGUCGCAAAUUAUUUUACAAGAUCUGCCAAUUCCAACUACUUCCUUCAUAAUUUUGUGUUUUCGAGCAAGCCCAUAAGACAAAUCAUGGAGUUGAAUCAGAUGCAGAGGAGUUUCCUUGAAUACACUGAUGCUUUAUUUCGUGAGGUAAAAUAAAGGGAAAAAUGUUUUUUUUUCCUUGAAUUUGAAUAUGUGAUGUCGUUUGUGUUUGUUUUAUAUGUUUAUUUGGAUUUUUGAUUGGUGGGUUUUUGGUUUGUAGGN
rnacentral:lncRNA from 1 species